rnacentral:rRNA from 1 species
AGCAGCCGCGGUAAUUCCAGCUCCAAUAGCGUAUAUUAAAGUUGUUGCAGUUAAAAAGCUCGUAGUUGAAUUUCGGGGUUAGUAGGUUGGUCAUGCCUCUGGUAUGUACUGGUCUCACUGAUUCCUCCUUCCUGAUGAGCCGUAAUGCCAUUAAUUUGGUGUUGCGGGGAAUUUGGACUGUUACUUUGAAAAAUUAGAGUGUUUAAAGCAGGCUCGCGCUUGAAUACAUUAGCAUGGAAUAAUGAAAUAGGACGUUUGAUUCUAUUUUGUUGGUUUCUAGGAUCGACGUAAUGAUUAAUAGGGAUAGUUGGGGGCAUUAGUAUUCAAUUGUCAGAGGUGAAAUUCUUGGAUUUAUUGAAGACUGACUACUGCGAAAGCAUUUGCCAAGGAUG